rnacentral:lncRNA from 10 species
ACCUCCAGGCACUUUAAGCUCCUGGGGGUGGCAGGGGCAGGGGGAAGCCCCUGAUAUGGCAGGGGAUUGGGAAAUGCUUGUGGAGUGAGGGAAGCAGGGAGAAGGAUUGCUGGCCUCCAGGAUCGCUGAGGCUGUCCCCACGGCAUGACGUGUUUUCAUGACUGUGGCCCCGUUUCCCUGGUGCCUGCUUCCUGGGGACAC